AGAGAUGUGUGAUGACGCAUAUCAAUAAGCGGAGGAAAAGAAACUAACAAGGAUUCCCUUAGUAACGGCGAGUGAAGCGGGAAGAGCUCAAAUUUGAAAUCUUCAAGGUUCUACCUUGACGAAUUGUAGUUUAAUAGAAGUGUUUUCUGUUAGUAGAGUGGCUAAAAGUUCUUUGGAAUAGGACAUCAUAGAGGGUGAGAAUCCCGUAUUUGGUCAUUCUUUCUAGCUUUGUGAUACACUUUCAACGAGUCGGAUUGUUUGGGAAUGCAGUCCAAAAUGGGUGGUAAAUUUCAUCUAAAGCUAAAUAUUGGCGAGAGACCGAUAGCGAACAAGUACCGUGAGGGAAAGAUGAAAAGAACUUUGAAAAGAGAGUUAAACAGUACGUGAAAUUGUCAAAAGGGAAGCGUUUGACACCAGUGUUGUUUGGUUGAAAAUCAAUUAAAUAUUUUUCGAUUUUAAGUAGUAUUGACCUUAUCAGCUUGCUGCUUUUUUCUCGGAAAUUAUUUAAUGCACUUUUCAGUUAACAAGUCAACAUCAAUUUCUUUUGUUGUAAAAAGGUAAGAGGAAGGUGGCUUGCGCUUCGGCUCAAGUGUUUAUAGCCUUUUACCCCUGCAAUCGGAGAGAUUGAGGUCUGCAGCGUAGAUCCUUCGGGGUUAGAUACAUUUGUGCUAAGCUAUAGCCUUGUAUAGACAACUUGUUGACUAUGCUCAGUCAUGUAGCUUACUCGCUUAUGCUAUUUUACCUACGCUUAGGAUGUUGAAGAUGUAGCACAUCAU
rnacentral:rRNA from 1 species